rnacentral:rRNA from 1 species
ACUCAAAUGAAUAGACGGGGACCCGCACAAGCAGCGGAGCGUGUGGUUUAAUUCGAGGCUACGCGCAGAACCUUACCAGGGAUUGACAUGACCGUAGUAGUGAAGCGAAAGCGGAACGACCCUUCGGGGAGCGGUCACAGGUGAUGCAUGGCUGUCGUCAGCUCGUGCCGUGAGGUGUUUGGUUAAGUCCACUAACGAGCGCAACCCUUAGCGCCAGUUACAGGUGUCUGGCGCGACUGCCGGUACUAAGCCGGAGGAAGGUGGGGAUGACGUCAAGUCCGCAUGUCCUUCAUACCCUGGGCGACACACACGCUACAAUGGCCAGUCCAGUGGGUUGCCAAGCCGCGAGGCGGAGCCAAUCCUAAAAAGCUGGUCUCAGUUCGGAUUGCAGGCUGCAACCCGCCUGCAUGAAGUCGGAGUUGCUAGUAACCGCAGGACAGCCAUACUGCGGUGAAUACGUUCCCGGGUCUUGCACACACCGCCCGU